AUACAAGCCCACGGCCUAUCAGCUUGUUGGUGAGGUAACGGCUCACCAAGGCGACGACGGGUAGCCGGCCUGAGAGGGCGACCGGCCACACUGGGACUGAGACACGGCCCAGACUCCUACGGGAGGCAGCAGUGGGGAAUAUUGCACAAUGGGCGCGAGCCUGAUGCAGCGACGCCGCGUGAGGGAUGACGGCCUUCGGGUUGUAAACCUCUUUCAGCAGGGAAGAAGCGCAAGUGACGGUACCUGCAGAAGAAGCGCCGGCUAACUACGUGCCAGCAGCCGCGGUAAUACGUAGGGCGCGAGCGUUGUCCGGAAUUAUUGGGCGUAAAGAGCUCGUAGGCGGCCUGUCGCGUCGGUUGUGAAAGCCCGGGGCUCAACCCCGGGUCUGCAGUCGAUACGGGCAGGCUGAGUUCGGCAGGGGAGAUCGGAAUUCCUGGUGUAGCGGUGAAAUGCGCAGAUAUCAGGAGGAACACCGGUGGCGAAGGCGGAUCUCUGGGCCGAUACUGACGCUGAGGAGCGAAAGCGUGGGGAGCGAACAGGAUUAGAUACCCUGGUAGUCCACGCCGUAAACGGUGGGCACUAGGUGUGGGCGGCAUUCCACGUCGUCCGUGCCGUAGCCAACGCAUUAAGUGCCCCGCCUGGGGAGUACGGCCGCAAGGCUAAAACUC
rnacentral:rRNA from 1 species